rnacentral:rRNA from 1 species
GGUACGGAUAAAGGCCAGAAAACGCCCUGCCAGCAGCGCCAGCAGGCCGUGACGGUCAAACAUGCAGGUGGCGCGCUCGUGAUACUUCACCGGCAGCUGCGCCAGCCAGCUUUUGACGAUACGCGUAUUGCCCAGCCAGCGCCCCUGAACAUAGCUCAGCCAG